GGGCGAUUAGCUCAGGCGGUAGAGCAGCUGACUCUUAAUCAGCGGGUCGCAGGUUCGAGUCCUGCAUCGCCCACCA
rnacentral:tRNA from 1 species